rnacentral:rRNA from 1 species
GAUGAACGCUGGCGGCGUGCCUAAUACAUGCAAGUCGAACGCACCGCAAGGUGAGUGGCGAACGGGUGAGUAAGACGUAAGUAACCUGGCCUAGACAGGGGGAUAACUGUUGGAAACGACAGCUAAGACCGCAUAGGUAUAUGUAUCGCAUGAUAGAUAUAUAAAAAGUGCUACGGGACUGGUAGAGGAUGGACUUACGGCGCAUUAGCUAGUUGGUGAGGUAGAGGCUCACCAAGGCGACGAUGCGUAGCCGACCUGAGAGGGUGGACGGCCACACUGGGACUGAGACACGGCCCAG